UACAGAGGGUGCGAGCGUUUGUUCGGAAUUAUUGGGCGUAAAGGGCGCGUAGGCGGUGCGGUAAGUCACCUGUGAAAUCUCCUGGCUCAACUGGGAGCUUGCAGGCGAAACUGCCGUGCUGGAGUGUGGGAAGAGGUAGCGUGGAAUUCCCAGGUGUAGCGGUGAAAUGCGUCGAUAUUGGAGGAGAACCAGCGGCGAGGCGAGCGG
rnacentral:rRNA from 1 species